CACGUAGGUGGCAAGCGUUGUCCGGAUUUACUGGGCGUAAAGAGCGCGCAGGCGGUCGUUCAAGUCGCGUGUGAAAGCCCCCGGCUCAACUGGGGAGGGUCACGCGAUACUGAUCGACUCGAAGGCAGGAGAGGGUAGUGGAAUUCCCGGUGUAGUGGUGAAAUGCGUAGAUAUCGGGGAGGAACACCAGUGGCGAAGGCGACUACCUGGCCUGUUCUUGACGCUGAGGCGCGAAAGCUAGGGGAGCAAACGGGG
rnacentral:rRNA from 1 species